AUUGAACGCUGGCGGCAUGCCUUACACAUGCAAGUCGAACGGCAGCACGGGUGCUUGCACCUGGUGGCGAGUGGCGAACGGGUGAGUAAUACAUCGGAACAUGUCCUGUAGUGGGGGAUAGCCCGGCGAAAGCCGGAUUAAUACCGCAUACGAUCUACGGAUGAAAGCGGGGGCCCUUCGGGCCUCGCGCUAUAGGGUUGGCCGAUAGCUGAUUAGCUAGUUGGUGGGGUAAAGGCCUACCAAGGCGACGAUCAGUAGCUGGUCUGAGAGGACGACCAGCCACACUGGGACUGAGACACGGCCCAGACUCCUACGGGAGGCAGCAGUGGGGAAUUUUGGACAAAGGGCGAAAGCCUGAUCCAGCAAUGCCGCGUGUGUGAAGAAGGCCUUCGGGUUGUAAAGCACUUUUGUCCGGAAAGAAAUCCUUGGCUCUAAUACAGUCGGGGGAUGACGGUACCGGAAGAAUAAGCACCGGCUAACUACGUG
rnacentral:rRNA from 1 species